rnacentral:rRNA from 1 species
CUAGACAUCCUCCGUGACUUUGGUGAAUCCACAUGCCUCCAUAUAAACCCCUCAAAAUCUUCGGCUCUACCAAUUAGAUGUGACAACGUCGACCUCACGGCCGUGCUACAGAAUUUUGGUGGUGCAAUAGGCACUUUCCUAGCCACCUAUCUAGGCCUCCCGAUCACCACUUCUAGAUUAAGAUUAGUGCAUCUGCAAUUCAUCAUAGAUAGACUCAAAUCUAGGCUGGCGGGCUGGAAGGGCGGACUACUAACCAUAGCCAGCAGGAGAAUUCUUGUUAGAUGUGUACUCAGCGCCAUGCCAACAUUGGCACUGACCGUCCCGCGGGUCCCCAAGAAGCUGCUGAGAGACAUCGACAAGUGCAGGAAAAAGUUCAUGUGGAAACAAUAG